rfam:Struthio camelus australis contig37020, whole genome shotgun sequence.
GCAAAGGAUUUUUUAAAAUCUAUCGGCUAUAAAGAAGAAAAAAACCU